rnacentral:rRNA from 1 species
GUCUAGUUGUUAAACUAGGAAAACACUUACUCAUUUUCCCGCCAGAAAACUACAAGCGAAAGCACAAAAUUCAAAGGACUUGACGGUGUUCCACAUCAACCUAGAGGAGCCUGUCCUAUAAUCGAUAAUCCACGUUAAACCUCACCCAUUUUUGUCAAAACAGCCUAUAUACCGCCGUCGCCAGCCCAUCUAAUGAUAGAGCAUAAAUGGACAAAAUUGCAACCUUACGCAAAAACGACAGGUCAAGGUGUAGCUAAUAAAUGGGCUGAGAUGGGCUACAUUUUUUAAUUUAAAAAACACCACACGUAACAUGAAAUAUGUACUAUAAAGGUGGAUUUAGCAGUAAAUUUGAGCAAGACAUGCCACAUUGAAGACAGCUCUGGAACGCGUACAC